rnacentral:lncRNA from 1 species
GUUGAGAUUUGUUUAGUGAGAAUGUAUCAUUAUGCACUAAUCAAGGAAUGCGUUAGGUGAUGAUUACUAUAAUAAUUACUAACUAAUUGGUCUUCGGUUGGCGCACGAAUUAUGAUAAUUUUAACAAAAUGAUAUCAGGGCCAGUACUUUCGACUUCGAGUUUAAUAAUCAGAUAAAUGAAAAUCUUGAUAGUUCAGUAAGUUUGAAAGUACAUAAAUGCAGCGUCGUUAAUUUCACAGGUUUAAGAAUGUCGCUAUGAGUCUACUUGAUCUGAGUUGGUACAAUGCAGUCUAUAGCAGCCAGCAAGAGUUCUUACUUUUUGUAAAAUAACUGGAUCUCCCUCCAUUCAAAAAAAGCUCUGGGCGAAGAACUUCGGAUAUGAUAUAUAGUGGUAUCGAAUAGUUCUCAUCUCCAUUCUGAAAGAGUUAUUAUAUAGAUUUAGAUCCCAAAAAAACUCAAUGUCAAACAUAUAAACAAAUUGCUAAACCCACGCACAACUAAAUAAAGAAAUUCUCGGCUUGUGGCACGAGAAUGAAAGUACAGGCUUCUUGGAUAGAAAAACAAACGUAUAACGGUUUCUUAGCCUCCUUCAUGACUUAAGUUAAAAACCUGCUUCAAUAUUUUCAAAAGGCUAUCAUUUGCUCAAAUGUUUUUUAGCUUUUAAGUGAAAGCCUAGCUCAACAUCUAAAACUCUAUCCUUAGAGCAUCUCCAAAAGAUACUCUAUAACUUCAAAUAUGAAG